AUACGAAGGGGGCUAGCGUUGUUCGGAAUCACUGGGCGUAAAGCGCGCGUAGGUGGAUCAAUUAGUUGAGGGUGAAAUCCCGGGGCUCAACCUCGGAACUGCCUUCAAUACUGUGGAUCUUGAGACCGAGAGAGGUGAGUGGAAUUCCUAGUGUAGAGGUGAAAUUCGUAGAUAUUAGGAAGAACACCAGUGGCGAAGGCGGCUCACUGGCUCGGUACUGACGCUGAGGUGCGAAAGCGAGGGGAGCAAACAGGAUUAGAAACCCUAGUAGUCC
rnacentral:rRNA from 1 species